GUCCGAUUGGUGCAAUUGGCAGACACGGCUGAUUCAAAACCAGCUGCUUCAGGGUUCGACUCCCUGAUCGGGCACCA
rnacentral:tRNA from 1 species